GACCUUUGCUUUUCUGUGGAUUCUGUUUUCCUUGUUUCUCUAGGGGAUCAAGCUUGAAGAGCAGAAGCCAGGACCCCAGAAGAACAAGGAUGACUACAUCCCGUACCCCAGCAUCGACGAGGUUGUGGAGAAGGGAGGCCCGUACCCUCAGGUCAUCCUGCCCCAGUUUGGGGGCUACUGGAUUGAGGACCCGGAGAACGUGGGCACCCCAACAUCGCUGGGCAGCAGCAUCUGUGAGGAGGAGGAAGAGGACAACC